AGGAUAAAGAUCUUCAAACUAAAUAUGAUAUAUUAAAACGUGAUAGUGAAAAUUUGAAGCAAAAGGACAAAGAUUUUCAAACAAAAUACGAUAAACUACAAAACGAGAGCGAACAUUUAAAGCAAAAAGACAUGGAACUGCAAAACAAGUAUUUGAGACUUGAGAAAGAAAACGUAGUCUUGAAGAGCAAGG